rnacentral:lncRNA from 1 species
CCGCCCCACCACCACCACCACGCCAAGCCUCCGGCUGGCUCCCACAAGCCGGCGCCUCCCACGGCCACUCCUCCCACGCCGGCGUACAAGCCACCCACGGCCACGCCUCCGGCUCCGACGCCACCGAAGUACACUCCGUCCCCGAAGCCACCGACGCCUAAGCCCACACCACCCACGUAUACCCCGACCCCGAAGCCGCCCACUCCCACACCAAAGCCCACGCCGCCAACGUACAAGCCGGCACCCAAGCCCACUCCUCCCACGUAUAAGCCCACACCCAAGCCCUCGCCGCCGACGUACCCGCCGAAGCCAACACCACCCACCUACAAGCCGGCGCCGAAGCCGACUCCCCCGACCUACAAGCCGGCGCCGAAGCCGACACCGCCCACCUACAAGCCCGCGCCGAAGCCGACGCCCCCGACCUACAAGCCGGACCCCAAGCCGACUCCCCCGACGUACAAGCCCGCGCCGAAGCCGGCCCCCAAGCCUACGCCCCCGAACUACAAGCCGGCGCCGAAGCCGACGCCGCCGUCGUACAAGCCGGCCCCGAAGCCCACUCCCCCGGCACCGAAGCCCACGCCGCCGACACCACCAGCCUACAAGCCGGCGCCGAAGCCGAGCCCUCCGACGCCCGCCCCGCCGGCGUACAAGCCUCCGACUCCGACUCCUCCGGCGUACAAGACCCCCACUCCGAGCCCGCCGCCGCCGCCCUACCACCACUAAGAUCCAUCACUCUCUUUAGUUGGGAGCACAGGUGAGCAAUGCGGCAAUCUCAGUCUAUGCAUGCAUGAUGCAUGCAUGAAACGCAGACUGUAUCUACAUUUCCCUUUCAAAGUGCAAAGGACGAAACUUAAGACGUGAUUACUUGUGUUUUGCAGAAUGUGAUCGAAAAGACGUGAGCCGACUGUCUGAAGAUGACGAGCCUUUGAUUCUCCUCCCGUGCGUCGCCGCCAACCUAGGGCCAAGAUCGAAUAAUGCAGACUGCUCCCUUCAGUUUAUCUUACAGCUUAUAAUUUGUAUUCGCCCAGUCUUAGCGUGGAAGUGCUGGCAUUGUUAGCGUCGUCCCUGUGUUACUGUAAAACCAUUUAGUAACUUUGGAAAUGGAAGUAAAAUCUGUUCACCCUUGUUGUCUGUACCGUGAUGGCUGCGUUUUUACCCAAGACAGACGAGAUGUGAUGCUUGCAUGGCAGUAUAAAUAUUUUUUAGAAUAUGUACUUUGCUGGCACAGGAUACAGUGAGCUGUCGCGCUUGCACAGUCUACACGACACACCGGUUCUUUUUUUUUAUUGCUGACGGCAGACCAGUUCUGCAGGAUGCUCUAUUAGCGCGUCUAGGUGCAUUCGCGCACGCAUUGGGCACAGUGGCGCGCGGCCGAACCGUCCUGAUCAAAUAGAGAAUUAAAUUGAUUUUGGUCGUUAAAUUGAUUUUUGUGAAACAAAAUCCAAAAUACGGUUUUCAGUUCGGAGGUUCGGUUAAAUUGUCAACUCAAUGGAAAAAGGCUGAGGGCACGACAGAUGAAGCGGCAGAUACAAUGAAUUCGCAGCGGCCCGCUUGCAGAGCAGUAACUAUUAAAGGUCUGUGUCUGUGAAACCUGGGCCGAUCGUCGUUUCAGCAAAGUGCAUGGUGCCAACUAGUCUUUAUUGUGUGCAGAAACACGCGCGAAUACUCAUUACAUUCGGAGCGCUCUUGCCGAGGUAAAACUCUUACUCUUACUUUGUUGUAUUAGCCAAGAAGGGGAAAAUCCUAGAUGUCUCAGUGAUCGUUUCCUCUCUUGGAAGGGGUAGUGCUUUAUUUAUGAGCCGCUCAUGUCACACUGACAUGCGGGCCGGAGCCUAACGUUAUCUUUUUUGGGCCCUGCCGGGCACGCGCCUUGGUCUCCUCUGGGUGGCGCCACAGGGGACAAGACAAGUACAUUAGUCAUCUGCCGGCUUCCGUCAGAGAUUCUCUUUCGGUGCUUCUUUGCGCAGUUGCCAGACACCGCAACGUAAACGGCGACUGCUUUUCCAUGAUGAAGAUAACACUGCUUUACUUUGCGCCACGCGAUGAGGAUAAGACCGUUGAGACAUCUCAGCGCUGGCCGAGAUCAGAGUAUUCGUCCUUGUCCUGCAAUCUUAUAAGACAAGAUAGUCAUGCCGGCAUACACUCAGUAUGCCGGCUUAGUAUUAGUUUGACUUAACGAUGCCGGCAUACAUGACUAUGCCGACUUUGCCUUCGUCAUCUCGGCUAAAGCGUGUCGUCAUGACCCUACUCGGGAUCAUCCCCCCGACACUAGUCCCCGAAGCUGUUGCGGUCCGGUAAGGAAGAAUGUCGCACCUCGACAGUUUCCCAUAGACCUACCACCGAAGCCUACCAGGGUUUAGCCGAAGAGGAUACCGAAACAACCCCGAGUUCUCUUAGCCGAGACCAAGUUAUUUUGACAUAUCGAGUCGGCGUGCUUAUUCUGCCCUGAGUCGAGAUUCUUUUCUCCUCCGUAACCGGUAGUAGCAAAUUUGCUUCUGCCGAUACUGGUGCCACCUGUCGAUCGUACACUGGGCUCUGCUUAAAUAACGGGAAGAUAAGACCGAAGUACUGCCGGCGCGCUUUUUGAGGCAAGCUCAUCAUCCCAUCGGACAGUAAAGCCGACAAAGCCAUUAAGAGGGGAAUUUCAGUUCCCACGCGGAUACUUAUUCUCCCGGAUUCGACGGGAUUCUUUGCGCCACACCGCGUGGUAACCGAGCGCGUGCGCGUUAAUGGGGUUGAAUGCCCCCAUGAUCGUGCGCAGCCCUUCAGUUGGCCACAGGGAUCGUGGGCGUGGAAGAUCCACACCCCAUUAGUGCGUCUUGAGUAUAAAUAGAGGGAGGGGGCGAGGGUAAAAAACCCUUCGCACUCCCCCAACCUUCUUGCUCUCCUUUGCUCCUUGCGCACUCCGCCAUUACCGCGAGCUCCAAGCUCUUCCGCCGUCGCACUUCCUGACUUCGAGCAACGAAGCUUGCCGCCGCAUCCUCGUGCGCACGCUCAGUCAGCUUUUCGCCGCCGCUUUUCUUACUUGCUCGAGCCUUGCGCUAGCACCUUCUCACCGGAGAUGCAAACCCUAGAUCUAGUUUUCUAAUCCAUGGCUUCUUCAUCCCGCGAAGCCGCCGCCGUCGACCCCGCUAUCCAGGACCCUGAGGAGGAGCUAGGCUCAGAGCGAGCUGCUUGGGAGGGCUCCGACGUCUCCCCGGCGGACAUUGAGUGGCUCCGCCGCUCCCGGUGGGUUCCAGAGGACGUGGAGUGCCGGAUCCCCGACGACGCGAUAGUGCCAGCACCCGAAUGUGGUGAGCGCGUUGUUUUUGUCGCUCACUUUGAACUCGGUUUUGCUCUCCCGGCCAACGACUUCACUAGGAAAUUUCUAGACUUCUUUGGCCUCCAGCCGCACCACCUUCCGGCAAACGCCAUCCUCACUCUCUCGGCGUUUGUUACUUGCUAUGAGGCCUAUCUCAGACUCUGGCCUUCCACCGACUUGUGUGCCAAAUACUUCAAGUUUCGGCCCCAAGUUCUUCCCGACAAGGAAAAUCCCGGCGCCACCAUCGUCAUACCUCGUCGGGGUUCGGCCUUCCCUAGGAUCCAGGGUCUCGAGUCCUGUAAAAAGUGGCUCAAGACCUUUUUCUAUGUCAAGAACUCCUGCGACACCGACAAGAUCAACUUGCCGAGAUUUGUAGUCGGCCCUCCGGAGGAGAAGAACUGGAAGUACGACCCGAAGGACAACCUUCCUGAGAUCAACGAGAGCCACGCAGGCAUCCUUGAACUCAAGGCAGAAGGGAUGAUGGCCGAUGAUUUGCUGGCCACCUUCGUAUACCGGCGGCUGUCGGACGCACAAGAUGUGCUUCUACGGUGGUCAGUUUCACCCGAACCGGCUGUCCACCGUCCGGCUUGACCAGGCGGAAGUCCGGCGCCAGGUCAAGGCGAUCGCGAAGACGAGCAUGCCGGAACACUGGGAAUGGGGUAUGCCGGCAUACAGUCGGAAGCACCGUCCGCCCCCGGUGAGUUUUUGUUUAUUCACGUCUUCUGUUCUCAUCCGGCAUAAAGCUAUGCCGGCUUUUAUUUGAUAAAGACUCAUCUCGGCGCCAUUUGAUUCUUUUGUGCAGAAGUUACCCUUCAGCGCAACGAAGACGGGAAAUCCCCAGAUAAACGUUUUGGGAGCCAGCGCACGACCAUCGACCACGAAGAUCCGGACUCAGAGGAUCACAUGCCGAUCACCCAUGCCGGCCCCCGUCACACCGAAGGUAACAAUUCCCGACAUUUUCUCUUAGUCAUUAUAAUACUUAGUAUCAGGUUGCUCACACCCGCAUUUCUCCGGGGACAGCCGACUCGGCCGAUCCCGCUGCUGCUGCUGAGGCGUUGGAUCCAGUUGCGGCUACAGUGUUGGUCCGUGAAAAGCGCGGAGCUGAGAAAGAUCUUCCGCGAACUAUAAAGCGGAAGAAAGUUGCCUCUCGUGGUCCUAAGCCGAAGCCCAUGACCGUUGGGUAAGACUUAUGACAACUUAAAUCUUGAUGUCGGUUUUCUUCUUAGCUAUUAUGCUAAUAAUCCACUCUCAUUCCUGCAGGGCGGCUUUGAUAGCUACCCAAUCUCAAACGUGCAUCGCGUCUGAGAUCCCGGCGGCUCCAUCUCCCCGUGCCGAGCAUGCAACUCAGGCCACGGGUGAGACCGAGACUGCUGCGGAUCCGACAUCUCCCGUCCGGGAUGUCGGCCCAACAAUCGACGCUUCGAGCGUCGCCCAAGCCGGGACGUCCGCAGCCGGGACUUCAGCUGUCGGGGCUGCUCCUUCCUCGGCGGCAACCGAGACACAAAUGGAGCCGCUCGUCACAGUGACACCGCAACAACUGGCAAUGGGGCCCCAAGAACCCCAAGGACCACAAACGACUCCGACACCGCCGUCAUCACCGCCACAGACGCAGGGUACUCAACUUGCGGCUGCACAAGCUAAGAGAGCUAGGAGCUCCGCUAUCCUGGCGGGACAAGCGCCUUCGAGUUCCUCCAGCUCACAGCCUGCCCGGGGCAACCAGGGAGUUCCCCUCAGGACGGCCCGCGGGCAUAGCUGGGGGUCACCGGGCCAGUUCGUAAUGUACUGGAACAGUGUUGACGGUUACGAAGUGACCUCCAGCACCCUCCAGACAGCGCGGCAGAGCCCUCUAGUGGGACCCGCACCUGCGGCGACUCAGGAGUCUGUGGCGGCCCGGAUGUUCCAGGCAAGGGUGGGCUUAUUCGAGUCUAGCCGAGCUACAGAGGUACGAAAAACUCCUUUUUGAAGUUUUUUAUUCUACUUCUAGUAUCCGUACUCCUAGUCCCCGAGGUUUAAGGCGAGUAAGAAUUAGUCGGCCUGAAGCUUAUCUUAGAAAACUUCAAACACUUAUUCCCCGAGAUUCAGGCCGGGCUUAGAAUAGUCGGCCUUAAGCUUAAAAACUUCAAAAACUUAUUCCCCGAGAUUCAGACCGGGUUUAGAAUAGUGGGCCUGAAGUUUAAAAACUUCAAACCCUUAUUCCUCGAGAUUCAGGCCGGGUUUAGAAUAGUCAGCCUGAAGCUUAAAAACUUCAAACACUUAUUCCUCGAGAUUCAGGCCGGGUUUUAGAAUAGUCGGGCUGAAGUUUAAAAACUUCAAACACUUAUUCCCCGAGUAGUUGUGAACCUUCCACUGUAAUAGACUUAUAUGUGGAUCACUAUUUUGCAGACCUGCACGAAUAAGCGCACCGCCACCUUCAAGACCUUGCUAGCAAAGUACAAGAAGCUGGAGGUGGAGCACAAGGCUUUGGUACCCGAUCGCCAGAGCCAGAGUAAGUAUAUUUUUACCAUCAUAAAUACUUUGUCCGAGUAUUGAUGCACAGCAGAAACUGAUACGUGCUCUUGUUUACAGCCGGGGACAAUGCUCAAAUAUCUGAGCUUCUGAAGCGUGUCGCCGAAGUACAAGGUACAAGCUUAUCCUCAUCCCGUGUCUCAUCCCUUUUAAACUAAAACCUUUGUGACACACAUCUGUUAAACAGAUGAGAAGUCUCGGCUCAAAGAGCAGCACCGGGAUGAAGUGGCCCGUCUGAAGGCGCAGCUCGAAACUCAGGCGGAGGCGCACAAGACCGAGGUAGGUCUACUGACCUCGGCCCUCUCUGCCCCAGCUGAUGAGAAGAUCCGCCUAGAAGGCGAGGUGCAGAAAUGCAAGGAUCUCGUCGCCGAGGUUGAGACCCACGCCAGUACCGUCGAGAAGGAAAAGGCCGAGAAUGCCCGCCUGCUCAGCGUGUGCCGGCGUGACCUCAUUAAGAUCGACGCCAUGUUGACUAGUAAGUGGCCUUUGUCCAAAUCUCUUCCUCUGAUCACCUGUCCGUUGAUAGCAAUAGGGUGCCGAGACUCAUUACUAUCUUUUUGCCUUUAUCAGAAUUUUUUCCACAAUCUGUCGAGACCGCCCAAGCUGUCUUGAUUAAAGCCCGUAAAAGGAGAGAUCCAGUCGGGGCAGAACCCUUCGAAUACAGCUUGGAGGAUUUCUUGGUUAGCGUUGCGAGCCGGAUAAAGCCUCUGAAGUCCUUCGGGGUGAACAUGCUCAGAGCCGGCAUCCGGGCCUUUCGAGCUUUGUGGCCGGGAGAAGAAGCUCUGACCGGCAUCCCGGAGUUGGCAACGCGCCUUCCGGAGGUGGAGGAUCGUCUUAAUGAGUGGCGGGAGUCGGCCGCUCAUGUCGGCGCCGUUGAGGCCUUGUCGUUUGUACUUUCUUGGUACGACGGCAUCAACCUCGACGUGCUGCAGUCGAUUCGUGUCGGCUCCCCCUAUCUCUCGGACCCUGAGCUGAUCGCAAAGCGUCAGGAGCGGGCCUACUCCUUCAUCCAAUAUGCCGAUGUGCAUAAAUUUGUGGAGGGCCCGGUAUCCGAAGCAGAGGCAGAGAUGGCCGAGGAAGAACACGAGGAGGCAGUCGACGAAGAGAUUGUCGUCGAGUUAGCUUCCACUGCAACGGAUGCCUUGAGUUUCGGCGCUGCCAAUCCUUCUGUCUCUUCUUAGGCAUGUCAGACAAAAUACUUUAAAACUAUCAGAUCCCCGGGAUGCCGGGUGCAGAUGUAACCGAAUUAUAACACUUUUGUUUUUGAAGCAUCAUACUUUUAAUUUAUUCAAGUCUUUUAAUUACUGAGUUCCCAACCGAGUCCCCGAGUCUAUUUUUCCUGUUGGUGAAAUUUUAUGACUUCGGUUCUUUUGUCUGCCUUGUCGGCGUUCGACGUAUGAAUCGCGAAGUCAUAGAACAACCCUUUCCAAAAAAUUAAACUCGACAAACUCGCUUGGAAAUACCCGAAACUGGAACGAAAUGCCGGGUUAAGUAAAACAACGUGCAUCUCGGCUCGGUUCCUUGUUUGUUUCCACAAUUGCUUUUCAUGUGUUCAAUUAUCUAGUACCCGUCUCUAGCUUGCCAUGAAGCCGGGUUGCGGACUGCAGCGAUGUCAUAGAGGGGAUUUUCAAUACCAACACACUACUAAACCGACAUAAGGUUACACAAUUAAGCCAUACCGACAUAGAAGAGAUAAUUUCAAUAUAACACCUAAACAGCAUGGAAGUCCCCGAGUUCCUUUUGAGAACCCGGUGGAUAAUUUCAUUGUCUAAAAACAUUGAACAUAAGGAGAAAACGAUACAAAUACUCAUCUUUCAAGUAUAGAACGGACGUAGUAAAACUACAUUUCAUGGCCUCUUGGUCUACUCGCCUGACCGGUCCAUCCUGUUUGCUUUGGGAUCCUGCGCAUCUAUAAGAUAGUAGGAAUCAUUAUGCAGCGCUUUGCUCACAAUGAAGGGUCCUUCCCAGGGAGCGACAGUUUCUGCAUGCCGGCUGUGCGUUGCACAAGUCGGAGCACGAGGUCUCCUUUCCGGAAUACUCGUGGGUUUACCCUCCGGCUGUGAUAACGCCUUAGGUGUUGUUGAUAGAUGGCCGACCGAGAUAGAGCCAAUUCCCGUGCUUCUUCGAGCAGGUCGACAGCAUUUUCUCGGGCCUCUUUUACCCCGGCUUCCGUAUACAUGGUCACUCGCGGAGAGUCAAGUUCAAUGUCGGCUGGUAAGACAGCUUCUGGACCAUGUCUGCAGCCUCCUGCAGCGCACUCGGCCAGUAGAACCCGUGCCAGAAUGUCUUGCUCACUAAUGUCCUCGAGGACGCAUGGUGACCGCAUUCUCCCUGAUGAAUAUCUCGAAGUAUCUCUUGCCCUUCUGCCGGCUCGAUGCAUCGCUGCAAGACGUUAAUAACACUUCUCUUGUAUAGCUCACCAUUGAUGAUAGUAUACGCCUUUGCCCUUCUCUGAACUUGCCUUGCCGACAUUUCCUCUUCCGGGAGACUCCCAUCUUUGAGAUAAGACAUUAUCGGUUGUGCCCAAGCCGGCACGGGGCGAGUAGCGAAAACCGGCUCGUCUGGUUCGUCUAUCUCCAUUGGCUCAACCGCCAGCGCUUUCGCCGAGUUAGGGCGCCCAGUCCUCGGGUUACCGGAACCGCUGCCACUGUCAAUAUCCAUUGGGGUAAUGUCAGCUUCUGAGUUUGCCAGGAUAAAGAUUCACUCCGAUUCUGGUGAUGGCUUGAUUGACGGUUUGCGUAAAUGAUCCAAUGCCACUCCAGCCAGGAUAGCUUGUCGCGUUGAACCGAGCUUCGACAGCGUAUCGGCUGCCUCGUUUUCUGCCCGCAGGAUAUGAUGGAAUUUACACCCUUCAAAAUGACCACUGAUCUUCUGAACAUGAAAACGGUAUAGUGCCAUGUUGGCAUCCAAUGCAUCCCAACUGCCGGAAGCUUGCUGGACUACCAAGUCCGAAUCGCCAAAGCAUUGAAUUCGACGAACUCCAAUCUCUUUUGCCAUCUUUAGUCCGUGCACGAGUGCCUCAUACUCGGCGACGUUGUUGGAUGCCGCAAAAUGAAUUUGCAGCACAUAUUUAAGUUGGUCGCACUUAUGCGAAGUUAAGACUAUGCCGGCAGCAAGCACACUUUUCAUUUUGGAGCCAUCAAAAUGCAUCUUCCCGUAGUUAGUUUCAGGCGGUGGUGCCUCAUAUUCUAUCUCGGCCCAGUCUCGUUGUCUCUUUGCUUGCACAUGGACAACUGUUGAGGGCGUUUUGGCGUCUUGUAAGUACUUGUGAAAUUGCUGAGGAAAGCUUCUUCAAAAUCUAUCCAGCAAUUUAUGCUGUCUUCCGGCAGAUUGUUCAGCCAUAUCCUUGCCGGCCCUAUCAGCAUCUGGGGUACAUAACGUACUGCACAUCGGCGAUUGCCACCUGCCACAUGCACCGCCAUGACACAAUCUUCCAGCCAAUCUUCCAGCUUUGUACUGCCGUCAUAGGUUCUCGUACCCCCGGGCAGCUGGAAACCCUGGGCUGGUGUCUCCCUCAUGAUCCGGUGUGCAAAACAAUGCGGUCCCGGUGGGCCUUGUUCUUCCAGGAGCUCUGACAGAUAAAUUAUGUCGAGCCAAUGCCGGGCAUCUAGUGGCGAUACUUGUCGGUUCCCAACUCGGGCUCCGAGCGGGCCGAGAUUAUCAUGCUCUCGCCUGAGAUAACCUUCAUCACCCAUGGCAAAGUACCCGUCAUCAUAAUGAUUUUGCCGGCGAUCUUCACCUCGAUACAGGGGGUUGCGCUCGAUACCCUGCUGACCUGCAGCAGUAUUGGGUGUCGGACCCUGAGGUUGGUGUCCAUGACCAGCCGAGUGACGUUCUUGCUGAUCUCGGCGAUUGUUGCCGAGACGCAGACCACUCUGGCUGUCAUCGACUCUCCUGGCCAUUUGUCUCUCGGCCAGAACCGGAUCAUAAUGCUCAAGGCGCUUAUCUCGGCCUGAGUUGACACUUUUGUCCCGUUUGCCACCAGGCGAGGACGCUUGUUUGUCAGCCCGGCCAUCGGCGCCCGCUGCCGAGUGAACGACUUGAGACGCACCGGGCUUACCGUGCAACCUCAUGUAUGCCUCAUUCUGCUUGUUGGUUGUGUGGAGCAAUUCCUACACGCGCAACUGUUGCAGCCGGAGUGCCUCUCCCGUGAGAUUCGGCAACUCUUCGGCCGCAGCCUCGGCGGCCCUGAGAUUCUUGGCAGGGGUGUUAUAUUUUGGCCUCAGCGCCGAAGCAAAACUUGCCGACACUGCGGGCACCACUCCGCCAUCUCUGGCUAUCUCGGCAUUCAAGUUCCUGCCACGGUUACGCACCUCUCCAACUCGGCUAGGGUUAGUCAAUGCGAUAGAAUUGUGACCAUGGGCUUUGUUAUACUCACGGAGCGAAAUAUCAAGUUCUUGCCGGGCGCGAGCCACAUCGACGGCCUCCUUCAGCAGCUUUUGGUGCUCCAACUCCAACUCCGCCUGCAGCUGGGCCAGGUUAGCGUUUGACGCCACCGGCGCGGUCAGUCGUUCGAUGGAGGCCUGCAGCUGAGUCGUCUUUGGCGGCAGAGCCGACAUGCUGGUUUGAGCAGCGACGUUAUCCGGCUUCUCCAGGGGGAACUUCGCCGUUCUACCGGACUUGCUUGCUGCGGUGCCCUUGCCAGCAUCGACGCCAUGAGCCGUCACCAUAACCUCCACACGGUCAGCGGGGCAGUCGACAUGCUGGCCGCGAACCGUGCAGACGGCGGGGGGAUCUUCGGCAACCACCACCCGCUCUGGGUACCUGCAGGGACUGUCAGUAGCAACGUAAACCUCAUUCACGCCGAAGUUGAUCAAGCGGCCCGCGCAAGGAAGCGGUGCGUUGUUGAAGCAACCCGUGUUGUUGUUGAUGAAGCCCAAAGAGCCGAAUCUCUGGACCAAACCGGAGACCACGCGCUCUCCAGUGACGAGAAAACUUCCCGUCCGGAUGAAAACUCCAGCCAGCGCCGCUGCUGGCCCCACGGUGGGCGCCAACUGUCGUGGUGGUGUCACGGCAAAUGCCAUGGGAUGGCUUAUCUUGGGGCCGAUGGACGAAGUAGGAUUCGGAGGAGGGAGGACGUGAAGGGAAACACACGCGAAUACACAAGUACACACAAAUUUACCCAGGUUCAGAGCCCUCUUGCCGAGGUAAGACUCCUACUCCUGCUUUCUUGUAUUAGCCGAGAUAGCAAACUCUACAAAGGCACUCCUUGAGAUGUAUUCUUGAGGAAAGAAGAAGAAGAAGGGGAAAACCCUAGAUGUCUCAGUGAUCGAUCCCUCUCCUGGGAGGGGUAGUGCUCUAUUUAUGGGUCGCCCAUGUCACACUGACAUGCAGGCCGAAGCCUAACGUUAUCUUCUUUGAGCCCCUCCGGGCACGCGCCUUGGUUCUCUUCGGGUGGCGCCGCGGGGGACAAGACAACUUUACUUUCCCUGGCGCCCUGCAACAGGUACAACAGUCAUCUGCCGGCUUUCGUCAGAGAUUCUCUUUCAGUGCUUCUUUGCGCAGUCGCCUGGCACCGCAAUGUAAGCGGUGACUGCUUUUCCGUGAUGAAGAUAGUGUUGGAAAUAUGCCCUAGAGGCAAUAAUAAAUUUGUUAUUAUCAUAUUUCAUUGUUGUUGAUAAAUGUUUAUUGCCCAUGCUAUAAUUGUAUUGAUUGGAAACUCAAAUACAUGUGUGGAUAAAUAAACAAAUACCGUGUCCCUAAUACGUCUCUACUAGAUUAGCUCGUUGAUUAAAGAUGGUUAAGGUUUUCUAACCAUAGACAUGUGUUGUCAUUUAAUAACGAGAUCAUAUCAUUAGGAGAAUGAUGUGAUGGACAGACCCAAACCUAAACAUAGCUUUUGAUCGUGUCACUUAAGUUUAAGUUGCUUAUGUUUUAUUAUGUCAAGUAUUAUUUCUUUAGACCAUGAGAUCAUGCCACUCCCUAGUACCGGAAGAAUACUUUGUGGGCAUCAACCGUCAUCUCGUAACUGGGUGAUCAUAAAGGUGUUUUUCAGGUAUCCCAGAAGGUGCUUGUUGGGUUGUAUGGAUCAAGACUGGGAUUUGUCACUCCUUGUGACGGAGAGAUAUCUCUGGGCCCUCUCGGUAAUAUAACAUCCUAAUGAGCUUGCAAGCAUGCGACUAAUGUGUUUAGUUGCGGGGGUAUUAUAUUAUGGAACGAGUAAAGAGAACUUGCCGGUAACGAGAUUAAACUAGGUAUGGCGAUACCGACGAUCAAAUCUCGGGCAAGUAAUAUAUCGCGAGACAAAGAGAAUUGGAUACUGGAUUAAUUGAAUCCUCGACAUAGUGGUUCAACCGAUGAGAUCUUCGUGGAAUAUGUGGGAACUAUUAUGGACAUCCAGGUCCCGCUAUUGGUUAUUGAUAUUUGAUCAUGUCCACAUGUUCUCGAACUCGUAGGGUCACACACUUAACGUUUCAUGUUGCUUGGGUUAGAUGAGAUAAAUGAUGAUGAUAUCGAAUUAUGAUUCGGAGUCUUGGAUGGGAUCCUAGACGCAACGAGGAGCUCCGGAAUGUUCCGGAGAUAAAGAUUUAUAUAUGGAAAGUUGUUUUCAGGGUUCUGGAAAGUUUGGAAUAUUUCCCGGUUUUGACCGGGAAGCUUCUAGAAGGUUCCGGAGGCAUCCGGAGGGUUCCACCUUGAGGCCCACCUAUCCCUGGGCUAAAUGGGCCUGUGAGGGAGCACCCUGGCCUUAAUGGGCCGAGGGGCUAGCCCACAGGGCCCAUGCGGCCAGGAAGAGAGUCCUGGCCGCAGGAGAGUCCUGGCCACGGGAUAGUCCUGGCCGGCCACGCCUCCUCUACCCCUAUAUAAAUAGAAGGGGGGGCAAGGGAGAGAGACACCCCAAGCUUUCAGUUGGAUCUCUCUCCCCUGAGCCCUCCUCUCCUCCUCUUCUCACGCGCACGGCGUAGCUCUGCCCGUGAGAAUAUUCACCAUAGUCACCACGCCGUCGUGCUGCCGGGAUCUCGUCUACCUCUCCCUCUCGCUUGCUGGAUCGAGGAAGGAGGAGACAACGUGAAGCUGAACGUGUGGAUACCAAGGAGGUGCUGUCCGUUCGGCACUGAGAUUGAUCUCAUUGAAAGUUCCACUACACCAACAACGAUCUCGUGAUCGUAACGCUUAGCGGUCUACGAGGGUAUGGUGUUCAUGAUCCCUCUCGUUACAUACAUCUAGUAUAUAUAUUCUUGGGUUUUCUUCCGCACUUCUCGUAGGAAAAUUUUUGUUUCCUAUGCAACGAACCUAACAGAUAGCACUGCUUUACUUUGCGCCACGCGGUAAGGAUAAGACCGUUGAGACAUCUUGGCACUGGCCGAGAUCAGAGUAUUCAUCCUUAUCCUACAAUCUUAUAAGACAAGAUAGUCAUGCCGGCAUACACUCGGUAUGCCGGCUUAGUAUUAGUUUGACUUAGCGAUGCCGGCAUACAUGACUAUGCCGACUUUGCCUUCGUCAUCUCGGCUAAAGCGUGUCGUCAUGACCCUACUCGGGGUCAUCCCCCUGACAGUCUGUCUGACCGAAAUGAAUCUGAGUGGAGCCAAACGAAACAAUAUUGUUAAUUUGCCAAAAAAAUUAUACAGAAAAUAGUGGAUCAAUCAUCCACUGCAAAUAUAUUAUAUAUGAAAAUAAAAUAUUUACAAGGCCAAUAAUGAAAAAUUAUUGAGCCAGCAGUGAAAUGUCAUCUAAAUCUAUUGAUCCAAGCUUUGAAGUUAGAGUAAGUCUUUCUUUUGGCUCUAUGAAAGACAACAUUAAGCUCUCCCUUGAAGAUAUGCCAGCACCAAUAAAGGGACGACGUAAGAUUGUUGAAAAUGCAAUCAUUCCUGGUCCUCCAAAUGCUCCAACAAACCAGGGCAACAAUUUCCAUAUGGAACGGGACAUCCAGAUGCCUCUUGAGCUCCAUGAUGUUACGAUGCACAUUGAGUUGUGGAGUGAAUGCAGGGCAUAUGCAUCUCCAGUAUGUAUCUCCAGCACGCGAUGGAGAACUGGCAAUGGAAGAAGAGGUGAUCCUUGGUUUCCAGAUGUACUCCAUGCAGAGAACACAAGUGUAAUCAGGUAGGUGCAGAUUCCUCUGAUGAAGCAUGGCUCUGGUGUUGAGCCUAUCAACGAGCAUAAGCCAUAAGAAGAAUUUAUGCUUAAGUUGACAACAAGAAUUCCAGAUCGACAUAAGAGUAACAGGAAUGUCAAUGUGAUCGAUGGGUCUGUCGUAGGUUUUGGCAUUGGAGAAACCAAUAGCAACACCUCUGAGUGCCCAGCCAUCCUGCUGCUGAGUGACAGGAAUCUGAUCAAUAAGGUCAGUAAGUUGGUUGAACUGAUCAAAAGCGACAACUGACAUAGGAAGUACAAACAGUCCAAUCCUGUCCUGAGAGGUAAGGAAAUCAUGCACAGAAAUGUCCUGAUCAUAUGCAAAUCAGAACAGCUGAGGCCAUCUGUCAGAAAGAGUGUUAUCAGACCAUCUAUCUUUCCAAAGACUAAAAGAUUUUCCAGAGAAGACAGUACAUGUGGCCAAGUUCUUGUAGGAGUCCAAGGUUUUCAGGAUAUCUCUCCACCUGAAAGAGGCAUUUGGGGAUUGGAUCAUAAGAUAGCCAUGGGGAUAAUGCAACUCCCAAACAAGGUGAACCCAAGGCAAGUCAAAAUGAUUGAGGAAUUUGUGGGCAUUCUUCAUGAGGAGAGCUUUAUUUUGUGCCAUCAGGUUCUUGACCCCAAGGCCACCUUCCUUCUUAGGUCUAUUACCAGUUCCCAUGCAGCUAAUGGGGUUUUUUUCUUGGUAAGAUGUUGCCCACGCCAAAGAUAGUGUCUUCUGUAUUUAUCAAUCUGUGAGAUCACUCCAGCAGGAAGAAGGAAAGUGCUCAUAAAGUAGGAAGGUAGGGCAAAUAAUACAGAAUUUACAAGUUGCAGUCUUCCCCCAUAUGAUAACAUAGAUGAAAAGCAAGUGAGCCUCUUCUCAACUCUUUGGAUUAGUGGGACCACAAUUUUAGGCUUGGUAUUACCUAUUGGAAGACCAAGAUAUGUAAAAGGAAGUGCCCCAAUUUGGCAACCAAAUAUAGCAGCAAGUUCCACAGCCUUGUCAGUCUGAAGGUUGAUGGGAAUAUGACUAGAUUUCUGAAAGUUGACUCUUAGGCCAGUAGAAGCAUGGAAUUGAAGCAGUAUAUCUUGCAGCAGAAGCAGUUGUGAGGAGUCAGCCUGCAUGAUGAUGAGGGUGUCAUCAGCAUACGGAAUAACAGGGAAAUCAGGACAUUCAGUAGUGGGAAUAGGCUUGGCAAUCUGACCAUGUAACAUGGCAUUGUUCAGAAUGGUUUGCAGGAGAUCAACAACUAACACAAAAAGCAGUGGUGACGGUGGAUCUCCUUGUCUUACACCUCUUUUACAGUGUAUCACCUUCCCAGGAAUGCCAUUGAGGAGAACUUGUGAAGUAGCUGAGUCCAGAAUACACUUGAUCCAACUACACCAUUUACUUCCAAAACCCUUGGCCUGCAGGAUUUGUAAGAUGGCAACAUGCUCUACUUUGUCAAAGGCCUUUUCAAAGUCCAGCUUAAGGAUGAUAAUUUCCUCACCAGAUUUAUGACAUGCAUGGAUGUACUCAAAUGCCUAGGCAAGGCAAUCUUGAAUAGUUCUGCACUUGAUAAAGCCAUAUUGAUUCUGAUGAAUGAGUUGCAUGAUGGAGUCCUGAAGCCUAUUGGCAGCCUAUUGGUAAGGAGCUUAGUCAGAAGCUUAAGUGUGUAGUUAAGUAGGGAGAUUGGUCUGAACUCAUUCUCACUCGUGGCAUUGUUAUUCUUGGGGAUGAGAGAAAUAAAGCAGGUGUUAAUACUGUCCAAAGUAAGCUCCCCCUUGUUGAACUGAUGACAUAGAUCAUAUAAAUCAUUUUUAAUUAUGGGCCAACAUCUCUUCAUGAAUUCAUUACUGAAUCCAUCAGGACCAGAUGAUUUAUUAUUUGGGAGGUUCUGAAUCACCGGAUCAAUCUCAUCAUGUGAAAAGUGUGCCUCAAGCAGCCUGAGGUCCUGGACAUUCCGGACCAUUUUGAAGUUCUUAAAAUUGAUAGACCUUAAUUUCAUCCACAAGGUCAUAUUUGUUAACAAUCUUGACUAAAAUUGUUGGUAGUCAAUUUGUUUUUUUUAAGUCAGACCUAGCUACUAGAAGCCUAGAACUAAAUGCACCCUAAAUCCCAAACUACACAAAUUAUGUGGGUAAAAGUUCGGUUAAUCAAAAAGUUAUAUCUUUCUGCAGAUUACUCAGUUUUCUUUUUCGAAACUAAGGUUAACUCUGUUUGUGAAAGUACUUCUUUUCACACGUGCGUUUAUCUUUUUUCUAUGGCCACAUGGGCAUGUCCACAGGUGUCAGAGAUCCGUAGAUUAACUUGAGAAAAGCAAAUUACCUGCCAUACUCUUGCUGCAUGGAAAGACACAAAAAAGCUGGAGGAGAAAAGCAAACACAGAUGCCGAAAAAACAAAUUAUUUCAUGGAAAUGAUGCUGCUCAUUCUGCAAAGUCCAUCAUUUCUUUCCUUAGAAUUUCUUGACUUCCUGCAACAAAGAGAGUCCUAGAUGGCUACUAGAUCUAGCACUAGCGCUUCGAUUGCCAGCUACUCGCUCCGUCCAAAUGACAAAAUUUGGAUUGUAUUUAGACAUGACUUAGUUUUUAGAUUAGCACUGAGUACAUUAAUUCCUGCUGGUACCCGAUAAUGAGCGGCAAGAAACCGAUUCAACCAGCUGGAUCUCUGUUCACACGGCACAAAGGAUCGUAUAAACCAGAAGGAUCCAGAAAAGCCAAACUCCAACCGGGGCCCUGAGUCCUGCGAGCUAGCUGCUGCAAAGUGAGCCCCCACGGGGAACUCGGCCCGCUUGCCACUGACCGCGGCAGAUCGAGCUAGUGCUACUACCACGGUACUGUGUCUUGUGACCGUGUGAGUACAGACUGCGGUGUGCGCGUGCUCCUGCGGGCAAAAGCUGGAACAAAAGCGUAAAACAGCCGCGGAGCACCGUCAAUUCAGCCACCCGGUUCACGGUCAGUACUGUUGCCCGCGCCUCUGAUCGACGCUGAGCCGCGGCCCGCGGCGGAGAAACAGGGCUCUCGGGGCCCCGGCGCUUUGACCGGCCGGCGCGGCUGGGAGCAAACGGACGACGCAUGGCAUUUACGCCGACAACGCGGGGGACGUGGGUCGGACCGACGCAAAACAACAAAACAACAAAAGGGCCGGGGAAUAGGCAGAUGCAGGAGCAAUUGAUUAUGGGAGUGCGAUGCGGAGACUGAAGCCAGUUGAUUAGGCGAGGCGAGGAUGGAGACAGGCUAUGCUACACUAUGGUACUACUCUCACGACAGUGAGAUCUGGAAAAAAUUUCCAAGCCUCGCACGACCAUGUGUACCUAGAUUGAUUCCCUAACCGUGUCUUCUAGGGGAAAAACAUUUCUUUUCGUGUAACAUGCAUCGAAAUCUCACAUUAUCGCACUGGAUUCACUUCGGCGGUGGAUGUUAGUGUGCUGACCUCUGUCAAAGUGCGGUAUUAUAUAUGGGAGUCAUCUUUCUCUCAAAAAAGAAAAGGAGGGUCAUAUUUCCGGAGAACAAUGUUGCGUGCCGAUCUGUGCGAUAUACAGUAUAGAUCGAGUCACGUGACUUGUGGCCAUUGGUUGAUGGUUCAGUAGCAUCCUCGUAGCAUCUCUCCACCACCACGGUCCGUUUUGUAACAGAGAAGUUGCAAGUAGGAAUUGCUCUGGUCUCCGGAAGUCUCCUCGCAGCUUCGCAGUUCGUGACUUUGUGUGGCCAUUUGCAGCGUGGAUCCAAGGGUGCGAACAGUCUUACUAGUACAGUGAGAAGACCAGAUCUACCUAAAGCACACAAGGUUACCUUUUCCGGUUGACCCUGACACGAGACGUUGCCGUUCAUGAGGGGUUUGUACAGUUCGGCCUAACCUGAACAGGACACCUACAGCUCACAUGCGUUGGAGCAUAGCCACUAACAAUGCAGAUAUAUAACUUUGACAUGGAUAUCAUCGCAAGUGCAUCAGUAUACGACUUGAGUUGUUAAUGAAACUAACCACGGUUGGAGUCACUUGACGCUAGUAUCCAAGAAAAAAAAACAUAUCAAGAAAUCACAAGAAUUUAUUUUGUUGUAGAAAAUAUUUUUAUUCAUUUUUAACAAAAAUACUUCCCUGCAUUGAAAAGAAUUAAAAAUUCAAAUGGUUUAUGCAAUUAUGUUUACCAUUUGAAAAUAUUCCAUCCCCAUUGUUGUUUUCUGUAUUAAAGCUCAUAUGAUAAAUAAAAAAAAGAAGAGAGCGAACUGAGAAUAUUCCAUCCCCGACAGGGAUAAAAAAAGAGAGAACUGAGAGUAUUCCAUCCCCGAUGUGUGAUAACACACCAUUGCCUGCAUACCUGGUUUGUAAAUAUCCUAUGGUGCUAAGGGUUUGGUCCAAAUAUUUACCCGUGGUUAUAUAAAUGGGAAAAAUUCAAUACCCGUGUUUAGCAUAGCCACGGAAAAAUGGACCGAUGGCAUGAAUUUGACAUGUCGCAUUAGAUCACUAUUUUUUCUCUGCUGACAAAAAUUGACGACUUGUUAAGUUUUAGCAUGUUCCCACAGAGAUGCCAUAAGACGCUAUUAUUUUUUCCAUGGCCAUGGUAGCAGCAACUAAAGUGCUCAUAGCACUAGAUAUCUUUACCGAAGGCCUCCCAGUAUCCCGCAUUCAGCUAAUCCCUCGAAGCCCACCUUGUACAGUUUGGUCCAAGCACACCCCUACGGCUCUACCCGCAAAAACCAAGAAGGCGAUAAGUCCUCAAGGUCCAACAAGCCCACCAGAAUGGCAGUGCAACUACUUCAUGCAAAGAGGAGAGGACAGUGGACACAUCAAAUCGAACGAUCAGUCAAAUAUUCGCACAAAAUAAGUCAAGAUGUAUUCCACGAUAUUUGGGUGCAGAUUUACUGUAACUGAAAGAGAAAGUGUAGCUUCUAAAUUUCUAAUGCAAUGUUCGAAGGUCUGGCUUGAGCUGAUGGAUAAUCAUGCUAUAGAAACUAAGCAUGUUAGUGAAAUACGGAGUACAAGUCAUGCUGUAAGGUCCACUAAGUCCCUUUUUUUUAGAAAAGGUCCAACUAGUCAUGCUGUACAGUUUCCAACAACAUGGAAACUGGGGCCCCGCGUAACACGGCCCAGUCGGUGCUCUCAGUCUCCAGAUGGUCUUGUCGAAAGUCCAAGCAGAUAAUGGGUUUGACAGCAUAGAACAAACAAGCCAGAUUUCUGAUUCAAAUGCUCACUAUAGAAGGUGCCAAUAGAGGAACACUGGAGUACCAAAGCGUAGAGCAAUGGGCACUACAAACAUGAAAGGCAUGGCCUUUCUCCUCGCUCUCGCAGCAACGCUACUGUCCUGCUGCACGGCCUCCUCCUCCCCUUACCACCUCCCCCCACGA